CUGGGCUGACAGAAACCCUGCCUCCAUCUCACUGCUGUCCCUUGAACAGCACCCAUUGCCAGGCUCCCCUAUAAAGCAGGCAGCAGGUGCUGUGAUCAGGACAGGCCUGGAAGAAGGAAAAGGGCAGAGAGGAAGACAAAAGGAGGGGAGAAGCAAAGCAAACCUGAGUUGAAAAGGACCAGCACUACUCUGCUGUGAAGAAGAAGGAGGGAGGCCCAGGUCUGAAGACAGGAAGAGGUUUUUGGCAGUAUAGGCAGCAUUUGCAGCGGCAGCUGCAAGUAUUUCAUGGAUUGGAUUUCUCGGAGACAUGGCACUGAGUCACUGAAGAAGAUAACUACAGUAUCUCUGGACUGUGCCAAGGGCUGACAUGUUCUAACCCCAGCUGGCAGAUGGCAAGUCUGUGUUCUGUGAUAUUCCCUGUUAACUGAGCUGACAGCACCUUCUACUUGGUGACACUCACACCACAAAUCAAGAGCUGCAGACUCUCAGAGAAGAGGCACUGACUUACAGAGGACCAAACAGAAAACAUCAUAAGACAACACAGAAAUAUUUCUAGUUUUUUUGCAAAAGAAGUUCUCCGUUAAAUUCUAGAAAAGCCAACACUUUCCCACAGAAAAUAGGGUGGGGCAGGGGGAUUAACCAGGUCCUUGGGAAACCGUUCCUUUGUUUAAAAGAACAUUUGACCAUCUUUACUCAGUUCUUAAAUAUCUCAAGAAAUUUCAGCUGCAGACCACCAUCCAUCCAUCCAUCCAUCCAUCCAUCCAUCCAUCCAUCCAAUAACUUCUCUAAAAAGAUCACAUAAUAAUGCCUCCACCCCCUCCCACCUCCCCCUUUUUGCCCUUAGAAAGCCCAGCAGGACUGUCUGAAUGCAGAAUGUAAUAUCGAAACUACUUCAUAAAAUGUUGACAUGACUUAAUAAAUAUGAAUGCAUUUAAACAUGCUCUGUGCAAAAUACUCAUACUUAAGAAACCAGCCUAAAUAUCACAAAAAUAAAAUAGCAUCUUCACAGCAGAAAUACAUUAUGCAUAACUAGAAACAAAAAAGACAGUUGAAGACCGUUUAUUCCUAGAUGUUGCUCUGUUUCUUC